rnacentral:rRNA from 1 species
GACGAACGCUGGCGGCGUGCUUAACACAUGCAAGUCGAACGGCAGCACGGGAGCAAUCCUGGUGGCGAGUGGCGAACGGGUGAGUAAAGUAUCGGAACGUGCCCAGUCGUGGGGGAUAACGUAGCGAAAGUUACGCUAAUACCGCAUACGAUCUAUGGAUGAAAGCGGGGGAUCGCAAGACCUCGCGCGAUUGGAGCGGCCGAUAUCAGAUUAGGUAGUUGGUGGGGUAAAGGCUCACCAAGCCGACGAUCUGUAGCUGGUCUGAGAGGACGACCAGCCACCCGGGGACUGAGACACGGCCCAGACUCCUACGGGAGGCAGCAGUGGGGAAUUUUGGACAAUGGGCGAAAGCCUGAUCCAGCCAUGCCGCGUGCAGGAUGAAGGCCUUCGGGUUGUAAACUGCUUUUGUACGGAACGAAAAGGUUUGGCCUAAUAAGCUGAGCUCAUGACGGUACCGUAAGAAUAAGCACCGGCUAACUACGUGCCAGCAGCCGCCGUAA